UUUCUAGUUCGCCAGCAAGGCAUUUUCCGAAGCAGGCAGGGCUAGAGCGAGGCAAUUGGCCAAUGCUAAGUGAUC
rnacentral:tRNA from 1 species